CACAUCGCUCUCGUUAACACGCGGAUUGAAAUUGUUAAAUCAAAUAAAACAAUUUCUUAAAAUACAUAUACCAUUUAAAUUAAUUUAAACUUAAAAUAAUGUUAGUACUGGAAUUGGCCAGUAUUUAUAAAAAUCAUGCUGGCAUUUACGGCUUUGGCGAUUGACUUUCAGCCAGUUUAUUUGAACCACGUGGUUGUUGAAAUCUUGAAAAUUGUCUUAUUUAUUUAAUAAAUAUGGGCGCUACAUUAGUUCUUCAUUGGAGCCUUGAAAAUGGAACAAUGGAAUUUGGAAUUACACCCCAUAAAAGGAGUGAAUUCUGUAUCUGAUGUAUUUAUGCUAUUGGGAGAAUGAAAGGAAGUGCAGUUAUUAUCAAGCCAGUGAUAAUUAUGUAACUCAAAAAUUAAAAUUUGAAGUGGAAUUACAGCAAAGUUGGAAGUAAGUUUUCUAUUCCAUUCAGAAUCCCAUGUUGUAAUUUUUAUGAUGAUAAUCUCAUACCAAACUCAGAGAAAUUAUGUUGAAAUCUAUUUAACAUGCAUCACCAUCUGAUUCUGUCCACAAAAAACUAUCUUUCUGGUUAAAAAAGUAAGAAACUAAUUGGCUUUUUUUGUUUAUUUUUAGGCGCUUU